GGUAAAUUAAAGAUGGAGCUUGUUCAUUUUACAUUACACUUGAUGUGUAAACAAGGAUAACCUUUGUUUGCCUCAGAAAAGAAAAUAUGCCAUUUCUUUUCCUACCAUCACAGUGACUGCUUCUUACAGAAACAAUAUAGCACUGCCAAUUACAACUUGCCGAGGAAGUGACACUAAUGAAUCACAAUAAUGCUGCCACAGCAUCAUGGAGAGUACUGUGACGCCAGCCUUCCAGAUUAAUUGCAUCACGUAGAACAGCACAGCCACAUCUGCUGGCCAGGUGUAUCAGUGUAAAAGAUUUUCCCAGAAAAGCAGAGCUUAGAGGAAAUCGAUAUAUAGGCUGAAUGAAGCCAUUGCCUCAGGUCCCUGCUUCACCAUUUGAGGAUUUGGAAGCUGAGCCAAGUGUGGGUCACACUGUGGCCUCAGCGGCAGACCUGUGCAUGCCUUGCUGCCUCCCUGGGCUGUGCGGAUGGCACGCUGCAUGGCUCCUCUCUGCAGCACGUCACCCUACAGACCACAGCAACCCUCAGCAAGGCACAGCCUGACCUAUGUGAAUAGCAUAGUGUACCAUAAAGUGUUUUAUUUUUAUACAGUGCUGUUCUUCCACAGGCACAUAACCUAGCUAUCUGUAUGAAAAUGUCAGCUAUCUGUAUGAAUACUCAAACAAGAAUUAAUUAGAUGUCAUUGAUUAAAUAAAUUUCACAGAGAGAAC